AGAGUUUGAUCAUGGCUCAGAACGAACGCUGGCGGCAGGCCUAACACAUGCAAGUCGAACGAGAAGCCACCUUCGGGUGGUGGACAGUGGCAGACGGGUGAGUAACGCGUGGGAACGUGCCUUUCGGUUCGGAAUAACCCAGGGAAACUUGGGCUAAUACCGGAUACGCCCUUCGGGGGAAAGAUUCAUUGCCGAAAGAUCGGCCCGCGUCGGAUUAGCUAGUUGGUGGGGUAAUGGCUCACCAAGGCGACGAUCCGUAGCUGGUCUGAGAGGAUGACCAGCCACACUGGGACUGAGACACGGCCCAGACUCCUACGGGAGGCAGCAGUGGGGAAUAUUGGACAAUGGGCGAAAGCCUGAUCCAGCCAUGCCGCGUGGGUGAAGAAGGCCUUAGGGUUGUAAACCCCUUUCAGCGGGGAAGAUAAUGACGGUACCCGCAGAAGAAGUCCCGGCUAACUCCGUGCCAGCAGCCCGCGGUA
rnacentral:rRNA from 1 species